UGUUCAGCAACUCCUAUCCCUACUACCUUGCGGUACUGGCUGGCGUACGACCUUAGGGAAGAUCGGGUAACCAACCCCCGGUGUGAACUUUGGUCGUAUGCUGACAGGGAAAG
rnacentral:ribozyme from 1 species